rnacentral:rRNA from 1 species
CACAGGUGCUGCAUGGCUGUCGUCAGCUCGUGUCGUGAGAUGUUGGGUUAAGUCCCGCAACGAGCGCAACCCUUGUCAUUAGUUGCUACAUUCAGUUGGGCACUCUAAUGAGACUGCCGGUGACAAGCCGGAGGAAGGUGGGGAUGACGUCAAGUCCUCAUGGCCCUUAUAGGUGGGGCUACACACGUCAUACAAUGGCUGGUACAAAGGGUUGCCAACCCGCGAGGGGGAGCUAAUCCCACAAAGCCAGUCGUAGUCCGGAUCGUAGUCUGCAACUCGACUACGUGAAGUCGGAAUCGCUAGUAAUCGUGGAUCAGAAUGUCACGGUGAAUACGUUCCCGGGUCUU